rnacentral:rRNA from 1 species
GGCGGCAGGCUUACACAUGCAAGUCGAGCGCCCCGCAAGGGGAGCGGCAGACGGGUGAGUAACGCGUGGGAACAUACCCUCCGGUUCGGAAUAACUCAGGGAAACUUGAGCUAAUACCGGAUACGGCUUAGCGGCGAAAGAUUUAUCGCCGGAGGAUUGGCCCGCGUCCGAUUAGCUAGUUGGCGGGGUAAUGGCCCACCAAGGCGACGAUCGGUAGCUGGUCUGAGAGGAUGAUCAGCCACAUUGGGACUGAGACACGGCCCAAACUCCUACGGGAGGCAGCAGUGGGGAAUAUUGGACAAUGGGCGCAAGCCUGAUCCAGCCAUGCCGCGUGAGUGAUGACGGCCUUAGGGUUGUAAAGCUCUUUCGCGAGGGACGAUAAUGACGGUACCUCGAUAAGAAGCCCCGGCUAACUUCAUGCCAGCAGCCGCGGUAAUACGAAGGGGGCUAGCGUUGUUCGGAAUUACUGGGCGUAAAGCGCGUGUAGGCGGGUCUUUAAGUCAGGGGUGAAAUGCCAAGGCUCAACCUUGGAACUGCCUUUGAUACUGGAGAUCU